GGUUUAUCUUCAGGUGUAACUUGUCUCUCUGUUUCAGAUGGUUUAUCUUCAGGUGUAACUUGUCUCUCUGUUUCAGAUGGUUUAUCUUCAGGUGUAACUUGUCUCUGUGUUUCAGAUGGUUUAUCUUCAGGUGUAACUUGUCUCUCUGUUUCAGGUGGUUUAUCUUCAGGUGUAACUUGUCUCUCUGUUUCAGAUGGUUUAUCUUCAGGUGUAACUUGUCUCUCUGUUUCAGAUGGUUUAUCUUCAGGUGUAACUUGUCUCUCUGUUUCAGAUGGUUUAUCUUCAGGUGUAAAUUGUCUCUCUGUUUCAGAUGGUUUAUCUUCAGGUGUAACUUGUCUCUGUGUUUCAGAUGGUUUAUCUUCAGGUGUAACUUGUCUCUGUUUCAGAUGGUUUAUCUUCAGGUGUAACUUGUCUCUGUGUUUCAGAUGGUUUAUCUUCAGGUGUAACUUGUCUCUG